GGGGAAAAUUGGCAAAUGGGCGAAAGCCUGAUCCAGCCAUGCGGCGGGUGUGAAGAAGGUCUUGAGAUUGAAAAGCACUUUAAGUGGGGGGGAAGGGUUUAUGGCUAAUAUCAGGGAAUUUUGACGUUACCGAGAGAUUAACCACGGGCAAACUUCGUGCCAGCAGCCGCGGUAAUACGAAGGGUGCAAGCGUUAAUCGGAAUUACUGGGCGUAAAGCGCGCGUAGGUGGUUCGUUAAGUUGGAUGUGAAAGCCCCGGGCUCAACCUGGGAACUGCAUCCAAAACUGGCGAGCUAGAGUAUGGCAGAGGGUGGUGGAAUUUCCUGUGUAGCGGUGAAAUGCGUAGAUAUAGGAAGGAACACCAGUGGCGAAGGCGACCACCUGGGCUAAUACUGACACUGAGGUGCGAAAGCGUGGGGAGCAAACA
rnacentral:rRNA from 1 species